GGAAAGCCUGACAUUGCUGGGGGAAAAGAAAGUGAAACCUGAGGAUGUGGCCAACACUGCAUAAGCCAGAGUAGAAAUACUACAGGAAUGCACAUCGACCUCAUAGGCCUGCGGUGAGGAACAAAGAGGAAAACCGUGAAUCAACUCAGUGUCUGGCACACAGAAAGAAACUGGGCAAUGGUAGCUGGUAUGUAGAAUGAGCUCCAGAAGGUUCCAUUUCUCUUACAAGGUAGAGGCGAGAAGGAUGAGAGACUGCCAGCUUUUUGAAAAGCGGGAUUGUGUCUUCCCUCUUCUUCCAAGUGCCUCCACAGAGAGCAUCUUUGAACUGAUUCACAGACUGGGGCUCCAUUAGGAUUUAAUGAUGAAGGUUAAGAGAAAAGGCAGGAUAAUUAUCAACUAUAUUUAUAAGAUAGAAUAAUGCUGAAAGACUUACAAAUCGGAGCUAGGUACAAAUAAUUAACUUGCUAUGUUUUAUUUUGGCAAAGGUCUUGAAACAAAUAAAAUAUUCUCCAUGUUCAUUCAUUGAUAAGCCAUAUCUAGUAUGUGUUAGUGAUACAAAGAUAAAUUAGACCUGGUCCUGCCCUUCCUACAGAGUAUUUCACAUUUAGUGAGUUAGACACAUGAACAUACAAUAGCAACAUAAAGAGAGCGACUCUGAUGGACAUCAGCGCAAAGUGCUGUCAGUAAGGAGAAAAGGCUGUCUCGGCAGGCUUCCAGGAGGAGGAUUACUAGCUGAGCUGAAUCCUAAGAGGAUGAAUAAGGUGUAGCCAUAAGGAGACUGCAGUCGGUGAAGGGCUAGGAAGGGGGCAGAAUUCCAGGCGAAGGGAACAAAACCUACAAAGGCAGAGGUAUGAUGAGCGGGAACAGCCAGCAGAUCUCAAACACAGGAUCUGAGUUAGGGACAGCUGAGGCUGGGUCAACAUAAAAGCCUGGAUUUUGAGA